CAAAUUGGUUUAUUCUUAAGUAAAUAAUUUAAAAUCAACUAAACCAAUCAAAAAUCCAUUUUUAUAUAUAAUUAAAAAACAAUUAUCAUCUUCUCAUUCACCAACACCAUUAGCCCUAGAGCCAUGGUGGAAAACUGACCUUCUCUCAUGAUCAAACUCUUUCUCCUCAUGAAUCUACUAAUCUCUAUUUCAGUUUGCUGGUGAGAACAAAAGCUGUGAAAAGCAAAGGCGUGUGGUAUUGAAUUCAUCCCGAACCCAUCUUGCUACACAAGAUACGGUCUUCCUAAAGCCGUUAACCUCCGUUUCUCCUUAUGCGACUUCACGCAUCAUCUCGGAGUAUCUCCACAAACCAGGUGCCACAAUUUCUCCUCCUCCGCCGUCUAGUCUAAAAUGCAUUGCCUCCGGUGGAAGCUCUGUCGGGCAACAGUCGUCGUCUUCCUUUAAUCAUUCUAGGCUAGAUAUAAUAUAUUUAACCAAAAAACAGAGGAAUAAUAGAACACUAGACUCGGCCAUACAAGCUAGAAUCCGAUUAUGGGAACCGUACAAAUCAGGGUAUCUCUGAAUACACCGAUCUUGUAUAUUUUCCAACGCUUUAGCCAACAUAUAACUAAGUCAUCCCGUAAGAGAAUUUCAGAUUCUGAA